UAAGUGAUGCUGGGAGGGGAGGUUUCGAUAAGGAGACAGUAGUUAUGGAGUGCUCUCAAAAGGGAAAGGAGACAAACCUCUGAGCCUGCGGAGGGAAAAGGUAAGGACAGUGAGGAGGAUGCUCCACUUCUGCCCAGGGGCUGGUUUCCCUAACUACCAAAUUCUCUCUUUUCUCCAGGUACCCAAUCCUGACUCUGGUUCCCUUGUGUACACUUGAUCCUUCUUCACAAAGGCGCUGGGAUGGAGGGUCCCUCUCCUAGCAGCACGUCCCUAAGCUAUAGGAAAAGUGCCAAGGAAGCUGGAAUAUUGAGAAUACCCUGUAUUUUUAUUUUGCUUAAUUGGAUUAGCUUUACUUGCAGCCACCUGCAGAGCCUCUUUGAUGUAGAGAAAAACAUACUAAGACUUUUCUCCAACUGAAUUUCUUCAAGUCAUCUAUAUAUACCGACACAGAAAGACGUUCAUGAAAUAUUAAGUGGAAAAAAAUAAUAAACAAGUUGCAGAACAAAGUAUAUAAUGUAAUGCCCUCUUUGGGAGAAUUUUUUUUCUCUGCAGCUAGAUUAAUACCUGGAAAGAAAAAUAAUGAUCAACUCGACUGCGUGGGAAUGGAGAAGAACUUACACUUUUUAUGUUAUUCACUUCCAUAUUGUUGAAUUACUUUAACACUUCAAAAAAAUAUAUCUGUGUAAUAUCUUUCAGUAUAUCUUCUGGGCUCUCAUUUCCUUCUCUCUAAAGGACUGAGGCUGAGCCACAAGGCCAAUUAAAGCUAUAAAAGUACAAGAUUUGUCUAUAUCUGACUCUCUGCUAAUCCCUGUGGACAAAACAAGGAGUAUAACCUACAACUGCAGACCUCAGGAAGUCGAGAAAGAGGGAGGGAUGGGGUGGGGGGAGUGAAUGCUCCAGGCAGCACGAGAGAAGUGCUCCAGGUCAGGGAAGGGUAUGAGGGGUUCAGGAGACGGUGUAGGGGCCCCUGCUUGGAGCACAAGGUAGCUCAGGGUGCCUAGAGCGAGAUGAUGUUGAUGGGUGGCAUGGAGCGAGCUGAAAUAAACCUUGACUGCCAGGCGUACACGGUUUAGUUUUAUUUUGAAGGCAAUUUGUGGGUGAGGAACAGGACACUGAAGGUUUUUUUUAAGGGUCAACAAAAGAAAAGCCUUGUCCCUUUGUUCCCUUUCAUCUUUCCUGUGGUUUUCUUGUUACCAGAUGGGACCCUUCUCAUACUGCCUUGGAAUAUUUACAUUUCAGAGGAAACCAGUCAGAUGGCCAGGCCUGCAAGAAAUGCAUCCUUCUCUCCUGGUAGCAGCGUACACAGUGCUGCAUCAUAGAAGGUCCACCGUAAAAGGAAUAAUGCUGAUAAGUUAAUAGCCCCUGCGCUUUUGGACCUGGAAGCAAAGGAAGACAUCAGUAACUGACUGACCCCAACAGGAAGAGACUACCUUGCUCUCCCAAACAGGAAGCGCAGCUACAUUCCUGCCCCAGCAGGAGGAAGGAAGACUUCCUUCUUGCCCAGCAACAAGCCCAGCCAAUGGAAAACCCUGCAGGUCAGCCAAAAACAAGCUAUCAUCACUUGAGCUUUUACCUUCCUCCAAUGAACUUUCCUUUUUUCCUUGCUGAUGAUCUCCUUUCCCUGUCCUGCCUUCCUUUAUAAAAGCCUUCCAUGCCCUGCAGCUCCUCAGAAUAUCUCUGUUUGCCACAUGAGAUGCUGCCCAAUUGAUUCAUGAAUUGCUUACCAAAACCACUUCGAUCUUCAGAUUUACUCAGUUACUUUUUGUUUUUUUAACCAACGGCAGAGAAGUGCUUGUCUUUGCAGUUUUGCUCUUUAUGGAGAUUCCUGAGAUAUAGCCAUAGAUGACAAACUCUUGGUCAAAAUUGUCCUCUCAAGGUCGAUAAUCUCCAAUUUCUCUUUCCAAAACUUGAAACUUCACGUAUUACAUCAUUUUAUUUGUAUAUGGAGAACACCGACCUGUCAAAAAACCUUGACCUGUCCAUGUGUGACCAGCAAAUUCCCUCAGUGUCAAUGAACCUUUUCGGGGUGUAUCUGACUGUUAGAAGAAAAAUAAAAUGAGGGAUGAGUUUUAUCGUUUCAAAUAUUUUUAAAAACGAAAGUUAUGGUUAACAGAGAACCGACCCAAAAUGUAUGGGAUGUGCUGGGCUUGAAAACUGUUCCGUGGCCAGAGAUCUUUCUUGAAGGGGUGAUCUUUCUACACGGACAGGUACUGUGCUCAACACAUGUUUUUGUGGAUGCCUUCCUCUGAGCUAAAUGAAGGAUGAUAUGCUCUUGUUUAAAAUAAAUGCAAUCCUUAAAAAGACAAAAGAAAAUCUAUAUAUGCUUCGAUCAGUCGCUCGUUUAUCAUUCAUUCACUCGCUUAUUUGAAAACUUUUAUUUAGAUAUUGCUAAGUAUAAGGUCCACUAAACACACCUAUCAAUUUAAUUAUGUAAUUGUAGUUUUUA